AUCGCUGUAAAAGCGGUUGGCAUCGGAAGCACUAUACAGCCGCUAUUGGAACCUAAAGCAUCGGCAGCCGAAAACUUUCGGUCAUCUCCGAUAAUUUCCGCGUUUCGCCGAACAACGCCAACACUUCCUGUCGUCACAGCGAGCGAAAAAUGGCUGCCGACAGAGGAGAAGAGAAAAGGAUACACUUACCAGACCAUCAUGUUUGUUUUGGGAAAUACACAGUCGCCGAGUGUGCUGGGAUCUGGUGGACGGAUGGGCGAGAUGUCUGACAGUUGUGACCUCCCUACUGUUCCCGAAACUCCGUCGACAGAGAUUAUACAUGGAGUCUGACCAAUACCAAAGUCUUCCAAUGUGCCAGAGUCACCAGCUGUGAUUCUCACACAAAGAGGUCAGUCUGCAGAAGUGUUCAAGACUUGAGCAACAAGAUGACACAAGUUUCCUGGUAGUGUCUCACUUAGAUGAGACACUGAUCAAGCUUCCAGGAUAGAUGAGACAUUGUUUGUUGCAGCAGCGACUGAGCACAAACCAUCUUUACAGUGUGGGACCUGAGGGAAGAUUGUCAAGACCUAAGGCUCCUUGAACCUGCAAGUGAGGCGCCACACUAAAGAUGUCAAAUUCUCAUGUGAAUUGUGUGGGACGUUUUUCCUUAUCAACCAAACGCUGGAGGAACAUGUUGCUAAAGUACACAAACAGAUUGGUGUUGUCAAGUGCAAGGUUUGCAGUAUAGUUACAACAUUUCGGGGUAUGGAGGAAUACAAGUCUGCUCCAUGAUGAGCAUGCACCCAAAUACAGGUUGUGGUAAACUCAUAACAUAAUCUGUCAUGACAUUUUUUCAUUGGUAGAAUGAAUGACCAUGGCCAGUUGUCAGAUCCCAAAUACGUAAUUUGGAAACCCGACUUAUAAUUGCCACGAUAACCAUACCACCUUUGCUUAUUUGAAGUUCAUUUGUUUAGAUUUAGUAAUAGAAUUUCCUCAAAUG